UUCCGGUUGAUCCUGCCGGAGGUCAUUGCUAUCGGAGUCCGAUUUAGCCAUGCUAGUCGUGCGAGUUCACACUCGCGGCACCGAGCUCAGUAACACGUGGCCAAACUACCCUACAGAGACGGAUACCCUCGGGAAACUGAGGCUAACCCGUCAUACCGAUCUCAGGCUUGAACUGCAGAGAUCACUAAAUGCCCCGGCGCUGUAGGAUGUGGCUGCGGUUGAUUAGGUUGACGGUGGGGUAACGGCCCACCGUGCCCAUAAUCAGUACAGGUUGUGAGAGCAAGAACCUGGAGACGGAAUCUGAGACAAGAUUCCGGGCCCUACGGGGCGCAGCAGGCGCGAAACCUUUACACUGCACGCACGUGCGAUAAGGGGACUCCGAGUGCGAGGGCAUAUCGUCCUCGCUUUCGUGUACCGUAGGGUGGUACACCAACAAGGGCUGGGCAAGACCGGUGCCAGCCGCCGCGGUAAUACCGGCAGCCCGAGUGAUGGCCGAUCUUAUUGGGCCUAAAGCGUCCGUAGCUGGCUGCGCAAGUCCGUCGGGAAAUCCACUCGCCCAACGAGUGGGCGUCCGACGGAAACUGCACAGCUUGGGACCGGAAGGCUCGAAGGGUACGUUCGGGGUAGGAGUGAAAUCCCAUAAUCCCGCACGGACCACCGAUGGCGAAAGCACUUCGAGAAAACGGAUCCGACAGUGAGGGACGAAAGCCAGGGUCUCCAACCGGAUUAGAUACCCGGGUAGUCCUGGCCGUAAACAAUGUUCGCUAGGUAUGACACAGACUACGCGUCUCUGUUGUGCCGUAGGGAAGCCGAGAAGCGAACCGCCUGGGAAGUACGUCUGCAAGGAUGAAACUUAAAGGAAUUGGCGGGGGAGCACUACAACCGGAGGAGCCUGCGGUUUAAUUGGAUUCAACGCCGG
rnacentral:rRNA from 1 species